CCAAUAGCGUAUAUUAAAGUUGUUGCAGUUAAAAAGCUCGUAGUUGAACUUCGGGGUUCACCCAUUGGUCAGGCUUAAUUGUCUGCACUGGUGAGAUGAGUCUCUACCUUCUGAGGAACUUUCAUGCCAUUUAUUUGGUGUGGUUGGAAAUCAGGACUGUUACUUUGAAAAAAUUAGAGUGUUUAAAGCAGGCUAACGUCUGAAUACAUUAGCAUGGAAUAAUGAAAUAGGACGGACUGAUUCUAUUUCGUUGGUUUCUAGGAUCACCGUAAUGAUUAAUGGGGAUAGUUGGGGGCAUUAGUAUUCAAUUGUCAGAGGUGAAAUUCUUGGAUUUAUUGAAGACUAACUACUGCGAAAGCAUUUGCCAAGGAUGUUUUCAUUAAUCAAGAACGAAAGUUAGGGGAUCGAAGACGAUCAGAUACCGUCGUAGUCUUAACCAUAAACUAUGCCGACUAGGGAUCGGAUGAUGUUAAUUUUUUAAUGACUCAUUCGGCGCCUUACG
rnacentral:rRNA from 1 species